UACGGAGGGUGCGAGCGUUAAUCGGAAUAACUGGGCGUAAAGGGCACGCAGGCGGGCAUUUAAGAGAGAUGUGAAAUCCCCGGGCUUAACCUGGGAAUAGCAUUUCAGACUGGGAGUCUAGAGUACUUUAGAGAGGGGUAGAAUUCCACGUGUAGCGGUGAAAUGCGUAGAGAUGUGGAGGAAUACCGAUGGCGAAGGCAGCCCCGUGGGCAUGUACUGACGCUCAUGUACGAAAGCGUGGGGAGCAAACAGG
rnacentral:rRNA from 1 species